rnacentral:rRNA from 1 species
UACGAAGGGGGCUAGCGUUGUUCGGAAUUACUGGGCGUAAAGCGCACGUAGGCGGAAUGCUAAGUCAGGGGUGAAAUCCCGGGGCUCAACCCCGGAACUGCCUUUGAUACUGGCAUUCUCGAGUCCGGAAGAGGUGAGUGGAAUUCCGAGUGUAGAGGUGAAAUUCGUAGAUAUUCGGAGGAACACCAGUGGCGAAGGCGGCUCACUGGUCCGGUACUGACGCUGAGGUGCGAAAGCGUGGGGAGCAAACAGG